rnacentral:rRNA from 1 species
AUCAUUACUGAACUGUCAACAUGAGUUGUUGCUGGUCCUCAGUGGGGACAUGUGCACGCUCUGUUAACACAUCCAUUCACACCUGUGCACCCUCUGUAGUUCUUAUGGUGUGGGGGACCCUGUCCUCCUGCCAUGGUUCUACGUAUUUACACACACACUGUUACAAAGUCUUAUGGAAUGUACACCGCGUUUAACGCAAUACAAUACAACUUUCAGCAACGGAUCUCUUGGCUCUCGCAUCGAUGAAGAACGCAGCGAAAUGCGAUAAGUAAUGUGAAUUGCAGAAUUCAGUGAAUCAUCGAAUCUUUGAACGCACCUUGCGCCCCUUGGAUAUUCCGAAGGGCAUGCCUGUUUGAGUAUCAUGAACACCUCAACUCUCAUGGUUUGCCAUGAUGAGCUUGGACUUUGGGGGUUCUGCUGGCCCAUGGUCGGCUCCCCUUAAAUGGAUCAGCUUGCCAGUGUUUUGGUGGGAUCCCAGGUGUGAUAACUAUCUACGCUUGUGGCUUUCCGUCAAGCAACCUUCAGCAAUGAGGGUUCGCUGGGGCUCAUAAACGUCUCUCUUGUGGAGACAGGUUUUUGAAGUUUGAUCUCAAAUCAGGUAGGACUACCCGCUGAACUUAAGCAUAUCAAUAUUUUCC